UACGUAGGGUGCAAGCGUUUGUCCGGAAUUAUUGGGCGUAAAGAGCUCGUAGGCGGUCUGUCGCGUCUGCUGUGAAAACCUGGGGCUUAACCCCGGGCCUGCAGUGGGUACGGGCAGACUAGAGUGCGGUAGGGGAGACUGGAAUUCCUGGUGUAGCGGUGAAAUGCGCAGAUAUCAGGAGGAACACCGGUGGCGAAGGCGGAUCUCUGGGCCAUUACUGACGCUGAGGAGCGAAAGCGUGGGGAGCGAACAGG
rnacentral:rRNA from 1 species